rnacentral:rRNA from 1 species
GUCUACAGCCAUGCCACCCUGAAUAAGCCCGAUUCCGUCUGAUCUCAGACACUAAGCAGGGUCGGGCCUGGUUAGUACUUGGAUGGGAGACCACCUAGGAAGACCAGGUGUUGUGGGCG